rnacentral:rRNA from 1 species
UACGGGGGGGGCAAGCGUUGUUCGGAAUUACUGGGCGUAAAGGGCGCGUAGGCGGUUUGCUAAGUCGGAUGUGAAAACUCUGGGCUUAACCCAGAGCCUGCAUCCAAAACUAGCAGGCUAGAGUUCUGGAGGGGAUAGCGGAAUUCCUGGUGUAGCGGUGAAAUGCGUAGAUAUCAGGAGGAACACCGGUGGCGAAGGCGGCUAUCUGGACAGAAACUGACGCUGAGGCGCGAAAGCUAGGGGAGCAAACAGG